UAGAGUUGUGUCUCCCUCUGUUAUCUGGUUAGGCUAGAUCCUUGUCCCUGCGUAGGGGAACUACAUCGCCCUGAUCUUCAUACCAGAUGAAGUAUGUAGGCAGGAGAUUGAGCUGAUCUCUCCGGGCGCCCUUUUUUCUUUUUCCACCUUUGUGUCUUGACCACCCUUGUGUGUGUUUAGGUUCGGAUGCUGAUGUAAGUCCAGUGAUUGGCAUUCAG
rnacentral:lncRNA from 1 species